rnacentral:rRNA from 1 species
UACGUAGGGUGCGAGCGUUUAAUCGGAAUUACUGGGCGUAAAGCGUGCGUAGGUGGUUCGUUAAGUCUGUCGUGAAAGCCCCGGGCUCAACCUGGGAAUGGCGAUGGAUACUGGCGGGCUAGAGUGCGGUAGAGGAGAGUGGAAUUCCCGGUGUAGCAGUGAAAUGCAUAGAGAUCGGGAGGAACAUCAGUUGCGAAGGCGGCUCUCUGGACCAGCACUGACACUGAGGCACGAAAGCGUGGGGAGCAAACAGG